GCGGGACGCCGAAGGUAGCGCUCACAUCCGCGCCUUCCGGGCCUGGCGCCCACGUGCGGAGUCCCCGGGUUAGGAAAGGCCGCGCAUCCGGAGGCCACGCAGAGCCUCGGGGCUUGCGCAGAGGGGCUGCGGCUCCAGAGCUUGAGAGAAAGUGCGAACCCGGUCCCUGAGCAGGUCUGAUUCCCAUGGCCCCUUCGCCAUCUGCUCUGCACCGAAAUUGGAUUCUCCUACGCAGAGGAGAAGGUGGAGAAGAUUCUCCGUCUUCCGGAGGGUAGCUACUGCCGGUAGCUCCGAUUUCCUUCGGAUCCCCUUUCAAGGGCAAGCAGAAGGAAAUCAGUUUCUCCAAAGAAAGUGGCCCGGCUGAGUAAGUGGGAACAAGGUGGUUGGACUGAGGCACGGGAUCCUUUAGCUCCGUUGCUCUUCUAAUCCCGUGGCCCUGGGCACCGCCACUUCCUCCUCUGAACUGCUGGAAUAAUCACUUCUGACUAGCAGAGUUACUGGGAGCCGCUGUUUGUCAGUGUUCACAUUCUGACUUUAGCAGGAGAUGGAGCGAGCGAAGGAGUGAAGCCCUUGUUUGUGAACAGUGAUUGUUUCCCGGAUGACAGCCAGAUGCCGGGCAGGGCCACGCAGAUCUUAGCUGGAGCCUACAGGCCUCUAAGUCCAUUCUCUGGAUUUGGACAGGUUAAAAGGUCUUCUGACGCAAGCUCUGCCUCUUGAGUUCAUGGUUCACUACUUCCAGCCUGGCAACUUGGUGCUGACUAAGAUUUGGAAAGAAGACAAGCUCCACCCAAGCUGGGAAGGUCCCUGUCAAGUGCCUCUGCCCCUGAGACAGCCCUGCGAACAGCUGAAUGGGGGUGGACUCACUACACUGGAAUCAAGAGGCCGGUAAAAGAGACCUGGAAAGGGAAGGAGAAAGAACAGUGGGAAGUGCAUGGGUCACCUGACGAACACUUAAAGUUAACUCUGAGAAAAAUUUAGAAAGAAAGCGUGGGCUGGCUGCAUUUCUGAAAGGUUGGGUUUCAGCCGAGCAAGUCUGAGGCCCCUUUCCCGCGCCCUCUGGUGGAAAGUGUUCGCUUUUCUGUCCACCCAUGUGAAGGAUUCACCCCGACCCUCCUCAGGUGGCCUUUACUUUGCAGGAGCAAAGCAAGACCCUGCACUUAAUGGAUCAGCUGGCACCACCCAGAUGGAUAAACUGGCUCAUGUGAUCUUGUGGCCCCCACCCAGGAACUGACUCAGUGCAAGAAGACAACUUCAAUUCCCUAUGAUUUAAUGUCCUACCGAAUCAAUCAGCACUCCUGACACACUGGCUUCCCCUCACCCACCAAAUUGUCCUUAAAACCUCUGAUCUCCAAAUGCUUGAGGAGACUGAUUUGAGUAAUAAUAAAACAAGGCUCCUGCACAGCCGGCUCUGCGCGAAUUACUCUUUCUCUACUGCAGUUCUCCUGUCAUGAUAAAUCGGCUCCAUCUAGGCAGCCAGCAAGGUGAACCCACUGGGUGGUUACAGGCCACGCUAAGUUCGGGAGAAAUUUAGUUUAUGGUUUAAAUGAUAACAGCCCUUCCCCAAAACUAAACUGCCCUGGUAAAACUAAUGAAAGGCCGCCAAGUUAGGAGGAUGACAGGGGCCUGAAUUCUACUGAGCCGUAAGCGUAAUUACCGGCCAUUAUUCCAGAGGACACAAGAUUUGCAACUUGCCUAAUUACUCCUGCAAAGAACAUCGCUACUGUAGCACCUGAGAAUGGCCUUUUGAGAUGUGUUUUCAGGCUUUUGCACUUCUGACAACUGAUGGCUGCACUUGGACUCGCCAGCCGGUCCCGCGUCCCCACCAGAAGCAGAGUAAGCACAAGAGGACAGCUCCGACUCCCUAGGAUUUCAGCUCUGACCAGUCGCACGCCUGGCUCACUGGCUUCCCCACACCCACCAAGUUGUUCUUAAAAACUCUGCUGCCCGAAUGCUCAGGGAGAGUGAUUUGAGUAAUAAUGAAACUGUUGUCUCCUGCACAGUCGGCUCUGCGUGAAUUACUCUUUCUCUAUUGCAAUUCCGCUCUCUUGAGAAAUCGGCUCUGUCCAGGCAGCAGCAAGGUGAAGCCACUGGGCGGUUACACUGAUAUGAUUCCCCCUUUGCAGUUUUUACUCUCUUGGUGCUGCAAACAGUUCCUCACUGAGGACCCUUGUACACGUAUCACUGUGAGCAUGAAUCCGAAUUUCUUUAGGAGACAUACAUACUAGUGGGUAUGUGCAUGUUAUGUAAUUUCUCUUAGCACUGUUUCCUCACUCAUCAAAUAAGGAUCAAGUAGUUCUCACCACACAGGGUUAUUUUAGAAAUAAUUUAGUAUACAUAAUAUACAAUGCAAUAACAAGUACUGAUGUCUACUUCUUUUAGGUUAUAUGAUAAUACCUUAUACAUAGUACAUGUGUGAUUAUAUAUAUUGCAAUGUAGAGUACGAUCUAUAAUUUACAGAACUGUUGUUUAUAUAUAACAAAUGCUGUCCUUGCGAUAGUUUGCUCAGAAUGAUGGUUUAUGUAUACAUAUGUAACAAACCUGCACGUUGUGCACACGUACCCUAGAACUUAAAGUAUAAUUUUAAAAAAUGCUAUAAUUCAUGUGGUGAUUAUUAUCUACCAGUUACAUCAUCGAUAGAAUGAGGACGUUGUUAACGGUACACGCCAGACAGGAUGGCUGUGAGGAUCUGUGAUAAUAAGAAUUAGAUAUUUGGUCUUUGUCCCUGUUUCCUGAUGGAGGCUUCUAAACCCCUUGGAAUUCCCUGACUGAUAGGGGCAAGAGGAAAUCUUUUGUUAUUCCUAACGAGCCCCUUUCAUCCAUGCCUGUGUUUAUGCUAAUGAGGUGACUCCUGGAGGAUGAGGGCUGGUUGCCAGGGGAAUCAACUUUGCCUUGCAACUUUCAGCUCCAGUCCGUGACUUCCAGGGAAAGAACAGGGGCUGGAGAUUGAGUUUAAUCGCCAAUGACCAGUGAUUUGAUCAUUCAUGCUUAAAUAAUGGAACCAUAAGAAACCUAAAGAAAAGGUUUGGAGAGCUGCUGGGUUCAGGAGCACAUUCGUGUGCUGGGAGGGUGUUGUGCCUGGUGAAGGUGUGGAAGCGCUGACUCUGCCUCGCAUACCUUGUCCUGUCUGUGUCUUUCAUCUGGCUGUUGCUGAGUUGUGCUGUUUAUAAUAAUAAACUGGUAACAG
ensembl:lncRNA ZNF496-DT ZNF496 divergent transcript